rnacentral:rRNA from 1 species
CCUUAUUGGGCCAACCCUUCUCUGUAGCAAAAGAGUGGGAAGAUUUUAAAGUAGAGGUGACACACCUAUCGAGCCUAGAGAUAGCUGGUUAUUCAAGAAAAGGAUCUUAGUCCACCUUUAAGUUUUUAUAAAUAAGCCCAAUAAUUAAUAUGUAUAUAUAAAUACUAAAUAAACUUAAAAGUCACUCAAAUAAGGUACAGCCUAUUUGAAUCAGGAAACAGCCUCCAAUAUUGGGUAAUGACCCCCCCCAUGAUCAAGUCGGCCUAAAAGCAGCCACCUUUCAAAAAGCGUCCAAGCUUUAUCAUAAGCUAUUAUUAAUCCCAUAACUAACUCAUAACCCUCAACUGCUACUGAAUAAUCCCAUAAGUGUAUGGGAGCCAUCAUGCUAGAACUAGUAACAAGAAAAGAACCUCUCCAAAAAUGUAAAUGCAAGCCAUAAUGAACGCAUCACCGGCACCCACCGCAUAAGCUUAUAGUACUAACAGCUCAAGAAAACUGUACUUUAAACAGCGUUAACCUUACACUAGAACAUUUCUGAGAAAGAUUAAAAGAGACGGAAGGAACUCGGCAAACAUUA